UACGAAGGGGGCUAGCGUUGCUCGGAAUUACUGGGCGUAAAGGGUGCGUAGGCGGUUCUUUAAGUCAGGGGUGAAAUCCUGGAGCUCAACUCCAGAACUGCCUUUGAUACUGAGGAUCUUGAGUUCGGGAGAGGUGAGUGGAACUGCGAGUGUAGAGGUGAAAUUCGUAGAUAUUCGCAAGAACACCAGUGGCGAAGGCGGCUCACUGGCCCGAUACUGACGCUGAGGCGCGAAAGGUAGGGGAGCAAACAGG
rnacentral:rRNA from 1 species